GCUUGUCUCAAAGAUUAAGCCAUGCAUGUCUUAGUGUAAAUAACUCUUAUGAAACUGCGAAUGGCUCAUUAAAUCAGUUAUCAAAUACGUGAUGGUCGCCUACUACAUGGAUAACCGUAGUAAUUCUAGAGCUAAUACAUGCACAAAGGCCCACUCACGUGGGUUGUGAUUAUUAGAUAAAGCCAACGCUGGGUAAAACCAGUUUCCCUUGGUGAUUCAUAAUAAUUAAGCGGAUCGCAUGGCCUUGUGCUAGCGACAGUCCACUCGAUUUUCUGCCCUAUCAUGGUUGAGAUUGUAAGAUAGAGGCUUACAAUGCCUACAACGGGUAACGGGGAAUUAGGGUUCGAUUCCGGAGAGGGAGCCUGAGAAACGGCUACCACAUCCAAGGAAGGCAGCAGG
rnacentral:rRNA from 1 species